rnacentral:rRNA from 4 species
UAAGUCAGCCACGAAUAGGCUAUCCCAACUAACGGCGGGAAAGACUCCACGGAGGGUGUAAGACCCGUGUGGGCGCGUGUCAAAGCUGUGCGGGCUCGGCCUCUAUUCCCUGAGAGUCGCGUUGCUUGAGCAUGCAGCGCUAAGCAGGUCGUAAACUCGAUCUAAGGCUAAAUAUCUCCACAGAACCGAUAGCGAACAAGUACCGUGAGGGAAAGUUGAAAAGCACUCUGGAGAGAGAGUCAAAAGACCGUGAAACCGCUCAGAGUAUAAGCCCAUGGCAGCUUGGAAGGCAUAUCGAAAGCGGGGCAUCGUUCUGCCUUCGCGGGCAGGCGGUGUUACCUUGCUUCUGUUGUGGCUCGUUAUGGUAGGGGGGUCAGGUCCACAUCCCGCCGUCGUGUGGGGGGUUCUUGGGUGUGUUGUGGUUUCUCGGUUGGCUUCGGCUGGCCGGGGGGCCCUUCGUGCUCGGUUCCUCUUUAGACACGGACGUUCAGACUCAGAGGCAAGACGCGAUAAACAGCCCACCACGGCACGUUGUGAGGUCACCCACAGGCUCGACUUUCGAUCGUGAACCUUGACGCCGAGCAAGCACAAUGCGUGUCGCUUAUGUUCCUAACCAGGCAACGCUGCCAGGACCGUGGAACGACACGCGCUCAACAGUCAGGUUCGGGCGGAGACAGAGUUCUGGUAUGAUCCUCUUGCGACGAGCCGGCUUCUGGCCAACAUCCGAUGCUCAGGUCUCCCGCAUGUGCCGCGGGAGAUCGCUUUGACGGUCUGGA